UACGUAGGGUGCAAGCGUUGUCCGGAAUUAUUGGGCGUAAAGAGCGUGUAGGCGGCUUGAUUAGUCUGCUGUGAAAGUCCAGGGCUCAACCCUGGAAUGCCGGUGGAUACUGUCAAGCUAGAGUCCGGAAGGGGCGAGUGGAAUUCCUGGUGUAGAGGUGAAAUUCGUAGAUAUUGGGAAGAACACCGGUGGCGAAGGCGGCUCACUGGCUCGUAACUGACGCUCAGGCGCGACAGCGUGGGGAUCAAACAGG
rnacentral:rRNA from 1 species